rnacentral:rRNA from 1 species
UCUGGCAAAUAAGCCAUCCGGUGAAUGGCUCGGCUCAAGCGCUGAUGAAGGACGUACCAAGUUGCGAUAAGCCUCGGCGAACCGCAUGGAGGUUUUGAACCGAGGAUCUCCUAAUGAGACCUCUUAGCGCGCAAGUGCUGAUCCGUAAGGAUCGGGAACGCCCCGGAUUGAAACAUCUAUUGAGAUGCCGUCAGUAACGGCGAGUGAAAACGGCAGAGUUUAAACUGAAUCCCCUCCGAAAGGCAGGGGAGAUGUAGUGUCAUAAGCUUAACUAUAUGCAAUGCAAACCAGUAAAGUCGAACUUGUCUGGAACGUCAGACCAAAGAGUGUGAUAGUCACGUAGACGUAAACUGGUGGACUGUGGUUUGUUCUUGAGUACCGUGGGUCGGAAAUCUCGCGGGAAUUUGGGAGUCAUCAAUUUCCAAAACUAAAUACGUCUUGAGACCGAUAGCGUAGUAGUAGAGUGAUCGAAAACUGAAAAGUACCCCAAAAAGGGAGGUGCAAAGCGCCUGAAAUCGGAUGGUGAUGGAGCGAUACAGCGUGAAAGGAUCUGUAUAGCGAAGGAAUAUGUCGCGAGGCAUUAGUACGGGCUAUACUGCCAGCGUUGUAUAUUACGUUUUGAAGAACGGGCCAGGGAGUGUAAUAGAGUGGCGAGGCUAACCACAUAUGGGAAGCCGGAGCGAAAGCAAUAUGCGCGCAACACUGUGAGGCGCAGCGUAUACAAGUGCGUGGAGUCACUAGAGUACGACCCGAAUCCUAGCGAUCUAGGCGGAGGCAGGUUGAAGCGUCUCGAAAGGGGCGUUGAGGACCGCAAGCGUUUUUGAUUUGCAAAUCAUUCGCGUGAUCCCCGUCUAGGAGUGAAAGGCUAAUCGAGCUGGGUGAUAGCUGGUUCCUUCCGAAACAUGUCGCAGCAUGACCUAACCGGAGGUCGUUGGUGAGGUAGAGCACUGAUUGGGGGAGCUGGGCGGGAAACUGCUCACCCCCCUGUCAAACUCCAAACUCCCCAACAUCCUAGAUGGUUGGAAGUCCGCAUUACGGGGUAAGCUUGUAAUGCGUAAGGGAAACAACCCAGACCGUGGUUAAUGUCCCUCAAUGUAGGCUAAGUGUAAACACUGAAAUUGGUCCUAGGUCAAAGACAACUGGAAGGUGAGCUCAGAAGCAGCUAUCCUUUAAAAAGUGCGUAACAGCUUACCAGUCAAGAUUUAGGGCGGUGAAAAUGGACGGGGCUAAAGCCUACUACAGAGACCACGGAGCACCGAAAGGUGAUCUGGUAGGGAGGCGCUCUGCAUGGGUAGAAGCUGGGGCGUGAGUUCCAGUGGACCGUGUAGUGUUGAGAAUUCUGGCAAUAGUAGAAGCAUAGAUGGGUGAGAAUCCCAUCCGCCGCAGGGGCUAGGUUUCCUCGGCAAUGUUCGUCAGCCGAGGGUUAGUCGGUCCUAAGGUGCGUCGUAACUCGAACGUACCGACAGGGAAACAGGUUAAUAUUCCUGUACCAUGUGAUUUUUAGCGCAAGCCCUGACGCUUUGGGGUAUGCUCAGCGGGACUGUCGUCCCGUCCAAGCGUAUAAUUCUGUGGAGUACCGUAAUGGUGAGAAGCGGGAGAAAGCGUGAUGAGGAAACAUGGCAAAUUCCCGGAGCCCAUGAAAAGGGAAUCAUAUGUCCGUACCGAGAACCGACACAGGUGCCCCUCGCUGAAGAGGUGAAGGCGUGUCGGAUUUAAUCGUAGUUAAGGGAACUCGGCAAAUUGGCCCCGUAACUUUGGGAUAAGGGGUGCCUGCCUGGAGAUCAGGCAGGUCGCAGUGACCGGGUCGCACUAACUGUCUAAUAACAACAUAGGUGACUGCAACUCCGAAAGGACUAGUAUAGUCACUGAUUCCUGCCCAGUGCGAGUAUCUGAACACCGGGUUCAACCGGACGAAGGACUCGUAAACGGCGGGGGUAACUAUGACCCUCUUAAGGUAGCGUAGUACCUUGUCGCUUAAUUGGCGACUUGCAUGAAUGGAUUAAUGAGUGCGAUACUGUCCCUAACACGAAUCCGUUGAACUUUUUGUCCUAGUGCAGAGACUAGGGACUCCUGAUGGGAAGUGAAGACCCCGUGGAGCUUUACUGCAGCCUGUCGCUGAAUUACGAUAAUCCUUGCGCAGGGUAGAUGGGAGGCGUUAUAUCCGUUUCUUUCGGGGAACGGGGAGCCAACGAUGAGACACCAUCCUAGUUUUGUUGUAGUUCUCACUCUUACGAGGACAACGGUAGGUAGGCAGUUUGGGUGGGGCGCCACACCCUCGAAAAAAUAUCAAGGGUGCCCCAAGGUCAACUCAUGUGAGUCAGAAACUCACAGAAGAGUGUCAAGAGCAUAAGUUGGCCUGACGCGAUCAUGCAAAGCAAAUGAUCGCGAGAGGAAACUCGGGUCUAACGAACCAAUAUAGCCUUUUGGUGAGGCUUAUUGACUACAGAAAAGCUACCCCGGGGAUAACAGAGUCGUCGCCGGCAAGAGCACAUAUCGACCCGGCGGCUUGCUACCUCGAUGUCGGUUCUUUCCAUCCUGGCCGUGCAGCAGCGGCCAAGGGUGAGGUUGUUCGCCUAUUAAAGGGGAUCGUGAGCUGGGUUUAGACCGUCGNNNNNNNNNNNNNNNNNNNNNNNNNNNNNNNNNNNNNNGGAGUCUGAGGGUAAGAAUGAAAUAGUACGAGAGGAACUUUCAUUCGGCGCCUCUGGUCGAUCGGUUGUCUGACAAGGCAGUGCCGAGCAGCUACGCGCCAAGGGAUAAAAGCUGAAAGCAUCUAAGCUUGAAACCCGGCCUAAAAAGAGACUCCGUUGAGGACUCGAAUAAAAGAUUCGUUUGAUAGGCUCCGGAUGUACGCACGAAGGUAACGACGUGUUCAGUCCGGGAGUACUAACGUCCAACGCUAGUGCUC